UGGGGAAUUUUCCGCAAUGGGGGCAACCCUGACGGAGCAACGCCGUGUGAGCGAGGAAGGCCUUAGGGUCGUAAAGCUCUGUUGUUGGGGACGAAGGGCGAAGGGUUAAUAGCCCCUAGCCUGACGGUACCCUUCGAGGAAGCACCGGCUAACUACGUGCCAGCAGCCGCGGUAAUACGUAGGGUGCGAGCGUUGUCCGGAAUUAUUGGGCGUAAAGAGCGUGUAGGCGGCCUGGUAAGUCUGCCGUGAAAACCUGGGGCUCAACCCUGGGCGUGGGGUGGAUACUGCUAGGCUAGAGGAUGGUAGAGGCGAGUGGAAUUCCCGGUGUAGCGGUGAAAUGCGCAGAUAUCGGGAGGAACACCAGUAGCGAAGGCGGCUCGCUGGGCCAUUCCUGACGCUGAGACGCGAAAGCGUGGGGAGCAAACAGGAUUAGAUACCCCUGUAGUCC
rnacentral:rRNA from 1 species